rnacentral:pre_miRNA from 1 species
UCUUAUGGAUGAGCAAAGAAAGUGGUUUCUUGAGAUGGAACCUACUCCUGGUGAAGAUGUUCGCUGCAUGAU